UCCCAAUUUUCCGAAGAACGGAAAUGUUGAUUCGCCACACUAUUUCCUUGUCGUUCCGGUGGUUCAAAUGGACUUCGCAUUCCCGUUCGCAAGCAACUUAACUCUUCUCCCUACACCUUCUGCUAUAGCUCCAACGACAAUCUCCCUCCACAACCGGGUCACGAAACAGAUUUGUCACUCUCGCAAUAUCUGAACGACACACUACCACCGCCACCACCACCGCACCACCAACAUACAACCAACACACCACCAAUGCACCAAAAUGGAGAAGAAAAAGGAAGGAACUCGAAUCGGAAAUGGAGAAUGGUAGGGGAAGAAAUGGUAGGGGAAGAAACGGAGAGAAAGAGAGGAAGUGAGAGUUGGGGGGUGGGCUGUGACUUUGAGUGAAAUGAGGAGGAGGUGUAGGGUAAUUAGGGUUUUAACUUAAAAGUAAAAAAGGUAAAUAUUAAAAAUAAAAAGGAUAAUUUUGGAAUUUAAAAAAAAAUUGGGGAGGUGUAGGGAUUCUGUGUGGUGGUGGAG
rnacentral:sRNA from 1 species